UACGUAGGUGGCAAGCGUUGUCCGGAUUUACUGGGCGUAAAGAGCGCGCAGGCGGUCGUGGCACGUCGCGUGUGAAAGCCCCCGGCUCAACUGGGGAGGGUCACGCGAUACUGCUCGACUCGAAGGCAGGAGAGGGAAGUGGAAUUCCCGGUGUAGUGGUGAAAUGCGUAGAUAUUGGGAGGAACACCGGUGGCGAAGGCGGCCCCCUGGACCGGUACUGAUGCUGAGGCGCGAAAGCUAGGGGAGCAAACAGG
rnacentral:rRNA from 1 species